CCUCGCGUCCGAUUAGCUAGUUGGUGAGGUAACGGCCCACCAAGGCAACGAUCGGUAGCCGGACUGAGAGGUUGAACGGCCACAUUGGGACUGAGACACGGCCCAGACUCCUACGGGAGGCAGCAGUGGGGAAUAUUGCACAAUGGGGGAAACCCUGAUGCAGCGACGCCGCGUGGAGGAAGAAGGUCUUCGGAUUGUAAACUCCUGUUGUUGGGGAAGAUAAUGACGGUACCCAACAAGGAAGUGACGGCUAACUACGUGCCAGCAGCCGCGGUAAAACGUAGGUCACAAGCGUUGUCCGGAAUUACUGGGUGUAAAGGGAGCGCAGGCGGGAAGACAAGUUGGAAGUGAAAUCUAUGGGCUCAACCCAUAAACUGCUUUCAAAACUGUUUUUCUUGAGUAGUGCAGAGGUAGGCGGAAUUCCCGGUGUAGCGGUGGAAUGCGUAGAUAUCGGGAGGACACCAGUGGCGAAGGCGGCCUACUGGGCACCAA
rnacentral:rRNA from 1 species